rnacentral:rRNA from 1 species
CCCUUAGAUGUUCUGGGCCGCACGCGCGCUACACUGACGAAUGCAACGAGCUUAUAACCUUGGCCGAAAGGUCUGGGUAAUCUCCAAAUUUCGUCGUGAUGGGGAUAGAUUAUUGCAAUUAUUAAUCUUCAACGAGGAAUGCCUAGUAAGCGCAAGUCAUCAGCUUGCGUUGAUUACGUCCCUGCCCUUUGUACACACCGCCCGUCGCUCCUACCGAUUGAAUGGUCCGGUGAAGCGUUCGGACCGUGGCCUUUGGACGGUUCGCCGUCUGUUGGCUGCGGGAAGUUCGUUAAACCUUAUCAUUUAGAGGAAGGAGAAGUCAUANCA